CUCUCUCUCUCUUUGAGGUCAAAUAGCAUCAGGGUUAGGCUUUUUUUUUUUUUUUUUUGAGGAAUGCCAGUGGAAGUUUUCAAAGUAGAAGGUGAUAAAAGAAAAUUCUCUUGUGAAAAUCUGAAGAGUUGACAAACUAAACUACUAAACACUACAACUUUUUUUUUAUCUGAUGUAAAAUAAUAUAUAGUGCUCUGCUCCUGAUUUUAUGUUUGCUUUUGGUUUGGGAACAGUAUGUGACAAAGAGUUGGCAAGAGGUGGCUAUGCAACAAUGACAGUUGCCUCUGUGCUCCAUUGCACCUAGAAUUGUGCAGAUAUUAAAAUGGAAGUGAGCUCUGAGGGCAUUUUAGCUGUUUGAAAGCUGAAGCUGGAUGUCUUUUUCCUGUUAUACACAUGUAUUGGGGGGAGGGGGUAUAGACCUGUAGUUGAUCGACGCUGUGAAUAUCUCCAGUUACUGCCCUUUUAUUAAGUUUUGGCUGCAGAUCUAUAUGACAAACCCUUGGUCUUGUGUUUUGCUUAUUUUGUCUGCUUGUGUUCUGCCAACCUCUGUACAAACAUUUGCUUGUAAAACAGAAAACAAUUUUUAAAAAAACCUUGUAUUUUACCUACUGUGUGUUGGCUUCCUUACUGUCCUCUUCUGUUGCACAAGGCCUUCCCACAGAGUCAGUCACUCCUACACCACGUGUGCUGCUGUUGGCAGUAGUUGUAAUCCACCAUUAGAAAACCUCUACUGCAGCAGAGGUGAAGAACCGGCCUGACUAAUACGAAAACCACAGGACUUGGGGCAAUAACAGAAUCUAGAUUCUGUUAUUGGCUCUGCUGUUAGUUUUCUGUUUGACCUUGAGCAACACUUUAAGGCCUUUGCUACUAUGUAGUAAAACAAAGAAAUUAGCCUAAUAUGAAUUGGCAUAGAUUUGCUUCUAAGAGUCAAAUAAUUUGAGUGACACACUGUAGGUUAAGCACUGAUAACAGAUUUAGUAUAAUCUGAACUUAGUUUGAAAUAUGACUUGGCUUUAAGCAACACGAUUUAUUUAUGUCUCUUAUUUCAGCAAAUACCUCUGUUCUGAGUGACUAGCUGUAAGCAUUUCCUGAGGUAUACAGACUAUUUUUUGUGUCUUCUAACAACUUGUUUUGCUGUUUUCUCUGUAAUACCAGCUUCUGAGAAAACUUUGUUGAGUUGGAGGUCUUCCAUUUUCUGAAAAUUGCUUUACUGGCAAGUUUUGAACCAUUUAGUUUUAAAAAUCCUUAUUGUGGCUGAAGACUUAUGGGUAAAGUUUACCCCUGGAAAUGUAGCGGGGAGGACUUGUUCAUUUAGUGUUUUGUGUAGGAGUUUCAUGCUGUAAAUAAAAUAUUUUUCUCCACCGUGGGGUCACUAAGCAUAAGCAUACCUCCUUCUGAAGUGUUAGCAGACCUACAUUGCCUUAUUUUCAUCUCUUUCUGGGUACUCGCUUUGGUGGAUGCUGUACAAAUACAUGACACUGGAGCCUGCUUUGUAAGCAGUUGUCCUUUAGGCGCUGCCACAGGAAAUGCAAACACAUACACAGGUGUGGAAACCUGAAAAGGAUCAGACACACUGACUGAGGUCCUUAGUCAGACCUUACUUGUCGCGGGUAAUGUAGUUGGUAGGAAGCAUUUUUGUGCAAAUGCACAUUCUUCCACUUAGCCUGUGUUGAUGUGCUGGCUCAGACUUCCUCAGGCAUGGCUGCAUCUUGCAUGCCUUUAAAAAUUUAGUUCUGAAUUUACCUCUCUACUUCCUACCUCCUCUGGAAUCUUGUUACUGACUUACUUCUAUUUCUAGUAGUUUCUCAUAUUACUUUUUAUGUCACACCUCCAGCUCUUCCUGCUUAUGCGUCCUUUUUUUUCCCUCUGUGAUUAAUCAGCAUCCUCUCAAAAGGCUCAGCAGCACUUAAUUUGGAGUUCUUUGUUGCAGCUACAAAGUUUUACUUGUUUGUCUUUGCAUACUUGAAAUUGUGCACCCACCUUUUUCUGUAAGGUAUGUACUUGCAACUGGUCUGAAGCAAUAAUAUUUUUGUUUCUGUGUGGUGCCUUAAAAGGUUAUGAUUUUACAGAAAAUGAAGAGGAUGGUGGCCUGUUAAGAUACAUUUGCCUUAUUGGCAGUAUGGUAUUGGUUUUACUGCUUCAGAUGAAGCAUUUGGUAUUUUUCAGGCCUGUUUUUCUCAAGUUAAGCUUUAAUUCCAUGUUUUAAGUACCCCUGUAAAUACUCUGAUUGUCUAAUGGGCUGAAUAACUGAAUCUCCUCUCGGUCUAAGUAUGAACUGUUCGUUACUUCUGGGAAUCUAGAUUAGAUGCCUACUUAAGAGAGAUUUGGCAGUGUCCUGAAGGUAACAGCAAGCUGAGAGGGACGUGUAGGACGUGUUAGCCCAGAGCUGAACCAGGUGUCCCGAGUCCAUUAUCAACCCUGAAGUCUUAAGAACAAGGAUUUGCAUAGUGGCAUAACCAUUUGCUGCCUUGUUUUCUUCCUAAUUCGUAACACUGGCUGCUAUUUUAAGAGUGGGGAAGUAUUGACUUGAUGCUUUUGUAGUUACAACCUCAACGUUUCAUUCCUGAGUGGUAACAGCUAUUUCAGAGCCCAUCAUUAUGUACAUAAUUAUGAUUGUAUUUUCUUAUGUGUACUGUUCUGCUCUUAACCUAUGUUGAAUUUCAGCUGUCAGUUUAUCACUUGCCUACUCUGUGUCAGACUAAAGAAAUCUGAUGAGAUGGAGCUCGCAGGGAACAUUUGUAACAUUACUAUUGUCAAAAUCUAAGCUUGCUUUGCCAAUACUAUAUGAAAGGUGAGAGCUGUUGCCCCAAAGAACUUGCUGUCUGAACAGCCAUACUAAGAGGGAGGGAGGCAGGUACAAAAGUGUCUUGCCCAACGUCGUGCAGAAGGUUGAUUGGAGAGUUGGGAUUAUGCCCUAUUGCCCUAUACUUGCAACUAUGCAACCAAAACCCAUAUUCCUUGUGGAGUUGCUUUUUAUUUUAACAACAGAAAAUGGUAAGCGCUCUUAGCCUUGAACUUUGGAUUCUGAAGCGAAUUCAGCUGAGCAGGAGAUGCAAUUUGUGUGCUGGAGUCUGCAUAAGUGCUUGCCUUUUGAGGUGCUUACCUGAAAUCAAGCUCCUGUGGUAGGUUUGUCUGAGUGUGUUGGGGUAUUUUACCCUUCUGUGCAGGAGAAAAUGUGCAUUGUAACCCCACAUAGUUUUCAUAAAGAUAGAAGGAAAAAUACGGAAGGCUUCCAAGAGCUUCUUAAACCUCUUAAAUCUUUCCUGCUCCGCAAGCAGAAUUCUAAUGAGGGAGUACUUUCUGUCCUUACAGCACCUAGUGCAGGAGGCCCUGAGCAAGACUCAGAUUCAUCCCAUGUUAAAUUAAAUUACAUCCCAUGUUCACGCCUGGGGUUGUUCCUCCUAAGGUGCAGGACUUGGCACUUCUUGCGGAGUUUCACGAUGUUCCUGCCAGCCUGUUUCUCCAACCUGUCAAGGUCCCUCUGGGUGGCAGCACGACCCUCUGGAGUAUCAGCCACUCCUGCCAGGUUGGUGUCAUCUGCAAACUUUCUGAGGGUACACUCUGCCUCAUCAUCGAGAUCAUUAACAAAGAUGUUAAACGGGACUGGACCCAGUGUAGACCCCUGGAGUACACCACUAGUUACUGGCCUCCAACUAGACUUUGUGCCACUGAUCACCACCCUCUGGGACUGGCCAUUCAACCAGUUUUCAGUCUACCUCAGUGUCUGCUCAUCCAGCCCAUACUUCAACAGCUUCUUUAUGAGAAGGAUCCUAUGGGAGACAAUGUUUGAAAGCCGUACUGAAGUCCAGGUAGACAAUAUACGCUGCUUUCCCGUUGUCUACCAGGCCAGUCAUUUCAUUGUAGAAGGCUAUCAAGUUGGUCAAGCAUGACUUCCCCUUGCUGAAUCCAUGCUGACUACUACUGAUGAUUUUCUUGUCCUUCAUGAAAACAGUUUCCAAGAUAGCUGCUCCAGAAUCUUAGAAAUAAAUGAAAAUUCUCUAAAAAUUGGAAAAGAGCAAGAGCAUCCAUACAGAUGAGGGCUGCUUACAGAUGCAUCUGGCAUUGAUAGUGUGUUCCUGACCUGGUACAAGACUAUAACCCUGUUCCUUUUCCCAAUAAAGCAAGAGCUGCUUGUGAUCGUGGAGAACUUACUAUGCUGCUUACAAGCACUUUCUGUACCAGUAACUGCAGUACGAUGUGGUAAUGAUUGGCUGCUUUGGAGAAUUCAUGCCUUUAGGUGAUGGAUGAGGCACUUGUCCUUAAAAGAGGAAUAGGGAUUGAUUGUGUUAGCAGGACGCUGUCUGUUAAUUUGCUGUCAGCUGAACAAUGAAAGCGUACAGCCUGUCUGCAACCAGAGGGUUUAUUUGCUACUUUGAAAACUCCUGUGGUUUUUCAGGUGCUGUCUGGAUUUCUAAACCUUACAUUUGUAUUUCUGUAGGAAGGAGACCCUUCAAGAGAGACAGGCGUCGUGGUGGGUUGUUGCACCACCACUUCUAGGUCCACUCACUGGCCAAACUACCGCUACUGCUUGGUGGCAGUCAGUGCCUGAGUUUGGGCUUCACCCCUGUGCUAGAGGAAAGAAUUGAGCUUUUGUGAAAUUCUGGAUGUGUCAGCCAGGAGAUUUGGCUUUCUGCUGUGCUGAGCUGCAGAAGAGGGCCUGCCUUCUCCUUUGAAACCACCCAUGGACUUUCAGAAAUGUGAAGGCUUUGAGGUUAGCGCUGGACUAAACCCAUCAGCAGGGAGGCACUGAUGGGCAGCAGGUGACUGACUCCUUACACCGUGUUCCUCCAGAGUAUGAUGGAGACUACAAGAUAGCAGAAACAGAGACUGGUCCUUCUAUCUGCUCUGUGAAUAGAGACUUUUGCUGUCCAAGACUCCCAACGCUGAUUUCUUUUGAAUCCUGUACACCAGAUCCAGACAUUUUUGGGAAAGCUUACCUUAAAAUGUGAAUAUUCUGUGUUGAUUCAUACUGCAGGACCAGUCAAGGGUAAGCCUGGUGCUGUGUGACCAUGGAAAAACAAAGCAAUUCCUGCAGAACAUUGCUCAUGUACCUGCACUGACUUAUGGUUAUGGCUGUAAAAGGGACAAUUGUGAAGUCCAGCUGGAGAUAAGCAGGCAGCUCCUGGAAGGACACAUGAUACUUGACUGGGUAUUUAAUAUGUGAACCCCAUCUCUGCCCUCCUUUGGCCCAAAACAGCAUUUCAGGCAGGUGUUUUUCACCUGUGAUGUACUUUAGUGGAUAAAUACACCUGCUUUUCCUUUUUCUGAAUGUUGGCUCGCUGCGGUGUUCUGGAGAACCAAGUGUUUAAGCUAAGGAGGUAGGAGUGCCGGUGCUCGGAGUAGUGGAUGAGAGAUGCUUGUGGGUAUUUUGAGGUGUUGGUUGAUUGAAUAACUGGUCUGUGUGUGAGAGGAGACAGAUCUCAUGGGAAGGCUGUCAUCGGUGCCUGUUACACAUUUGCAGAGUGAGCUUGAAAAUGAAACUUUUCCUCAAAGGACUGCAGCGACAUUUCAUGCAGCAUAGAGGAUGAUAGGAUUUUUCAAGGAUGCAAAAACUGGCAAUUAUGUGAGUUGCUUAUAACAUUAGCCAGCUCCAGAGCCUACGGGCUUUAACCCCUGGGCAGCUAUAGACCUAAUCAUAGAUAGAUGUCUUGUGUCAGGAGCAACAAACGAGUAGCUGCUCCUUUCUCCUCCUCACUGAAGGAUCUGUGAACUCUGAAACUUUCUUCAAAUGAGCGCUUAGGUUGGUAAGAUCACCUUUCUCUUUCUGCAAGUCAGUGGGUUAGAUGUGCUGCUUGCCUUGAAUGUCCAGGGUGAUUUUACCUCCUAUUUACUGCAAAAAAUCUUUUGUGUCACUCGAGAUGCAACUCGACAAGUUAGUGGCAAGGAGGAGAAAAUGCAGUAAAGUCUGCAGGACUUUUAACUGCUGGAAAAAAAGGUAGGAAAACCUAAAGUUUUCCAAUUCCCUUUUCCUCAAGAGAGAGCAAUGGAUGACAAAGUCCCUGUCUGUAUGCCCAUGCUUGAUAGCUUACCCAGCAUUAUGCAGUAGCUGAUAAUAAAUACAAAUGUGAUCCUGGAGUGAGCUGUGCUCCGUUAGUGAUCUUGCUGUCUGUGUCAGGUGGGGCUGGGCGUUGCUCGUGGCUUUCUGUACGCAGGAGCAAACCCACAGCUUUCCAUAUCAGUAAGCAAAGCCCUGCUUGAAUGGGGGGAAAAAUUUAUAUUGAGGUGGAAAAGCCGCAAUGGAAGAGCGGAGAUGUGAAAGCCAGAGAAAACAUUGCAGUUAAUUGGAAAAGGGAUAGUGUGUGUACUUCUGCAGAUUUUUCCUCUCAUAUCUGCUUUCUCUGAUUUUUGAUCCCUGCUGAGCUCAUGAUUGUAGCUUUACAGCAUUUCUUUUCCUUUUCUUUUUAGCAUCAGGAAAUAGGGAAAUCCCAAAGCACGGGGAUUCGUGCUGCAUCUCAUUCUUGUUAGAACAGAAAUGUAAGAGCACAGCCUUAUGUCUUAUGUCCAAACGGUGUUAAUACACCCUGAGCUUUCAGCCCUGUAGAUAUGAGCAGCAGGGGACAGGGGACCAAAGCUUUGCUCCCACCGGACUGUGCCUCCUGUGCAGGACGUCCCGCUGCCCUGCAUGGGCAAGCCUGAAGGCUGGUGCUUGCCUGCCCACCUCCCAGCAGUUGUAAUGCACUGUCUCUCCAGCAAUUUGCUUUACAAGAUAAACCAGCUAACGUUGGGGAUAGCUAAAGCAGGUGCUGGAGAUUUUGCAAGGAUACUUAAAGCUCGACAACCUCACCUAUAUGGAAAACAGGAUCUUUCCCAAGAAGAUGACUAACCCUUUCCUUGCUUCUCUCCUGCUUCUUAUUCCUCCUGUAGAAAGAAUGUGUUUUUUUUCCAAAGCAGUUUUUAAGCAUCUCACCACUUCAUAGCCCUUGAGUUGUUUUUCCUUUCCCAGUCUCUAAGGUGUGAUCUCUAGCUUCCACUUGAGAGCUUGCAGCAAGUCAACAGCUCAGGAAUCCAUGUGGUCCUGCCAAGACAAAGGUCUUCAACUCAUCACAGAUUUCUCCACCUUUUGCCGCGGGCAGAAAGCUAGGUAACUUUUUUGGACUUUGCUGCUUCGAACUUGUAAAACUGGUAUAGCAACUGUGAACCAAAACUCAAAUGAUACUGUAGCAAAACACACAAAGCUCCUCCAGCACCCACUCCUCUUGUGAGAAUGGGAAGAGAAAACCGGUGGCUUGUGCGUCAUUUGAGGAAAAUGCUGGGAUUCUGCAACUGUAGUGAUGCAGGGUUGUCAAUGGGAGAGGAUAUGGGCUGGAGCAAUUCCCGAUGACUCGUCUUCCCUCUUUGUAGGAGAGGGUGAUGCAGUCACCCAGCAAAAUUUGAAGACCUUUCUGGGGAAGUAAUCAUAUGGAAAUGAAGUGUACUCAAACCAGGAUUCGUGUGUUUGCUUCAAGCACAAAUUUCAGAGGAAGACCAUCUCCCUGUACUGCACCAGUUAAAGCUCUGCACAUCAUCCCAUGUAACACAACACAGUUGCUUCUGCAGAUACAGUCCCAAAAGUAUCAUGUUCACCUGCAAGGGAGUCAGGAAUAUCGGGCUAAUAAGGAAAUCAAGUCAGUCCUGAAAAUGUGGCCACACAUCACAGUGCUAUUCAUGUAUUUCCUCCCCCUUUCCUCACUUUGCUUUCUACCUGAUAAUUUCAAAGUGUUUUUCUUAGUUUUAUUUCUAUCCAGCAGGUUGCUUUAUUCAUGGGCAAAGCCUAAUGGUCUUUGUUUUUCCUGCAGCGUUUCUGCAGGCAAAGCUUGAGGAACAUAAAAGCCUGGGAUCUUGAGGCUGCUAUCAGUUUUUAUAUUAAAAAAUAAUGAUGUGGACAUCAUAAAAUCAAUACAUACUUUUUUUUUUCUGAUUUAAGGGGAAAAAAAGGCGGGGGGGCUUAACUGCACGGCAAGGAUUUGCCUCACCAAGCCUGGACUGUGUGAAAUAGAAUUGAUUAUUUGCCACUCUGGAUGCAUCAGAAGAAGGAUGGAGAUGUUUCUCCAAAUGUGACGUUUUCUUUUCAGUGCCAGGUGGGUGCGUGGUAGCAGUUCAAAGCCAUGGAAAUCGGUGGAGAGGGGAGACUGUGUUUCCUGCAUGGGAAGAGCAAAAUCACAUUUAAAAACCUGCUUGAGCAGGCAGCUGCAGAAAAGCCACCAAGAAUACAACCCUGGUAGUGAAGGAGAUCCCCAUGACUGAUUCUCGGGUUGAAACGACUGCAUGGCUCCAGCUCAAGAAAAGCACCGACAUCGCUGUCUCACAGAUUGCUACCACCCAUUAUCGUACCAUACCACUAACUGGAAAGGGAGGUCAGUUCAAUACUGAUUUUCUGGCUGGGCAAUCACUAAUACGAAGCUCUGUGCCUCCCUGUAUAGGUAAAGAUGUCUCUGCUUCCCUUAGAUACACGCAGAAAUGCCGAGUAGCUUAGCUCAGCUCCUGUGGUCCUUGAUACAAAGCCCGGUUCUGCACACCUAUUGAUUCAGUGCAAGGUGGGGAAGGGAAGUUAAAUCUCCAUCUUGGCCAAAGAGGGUUUUUCUGGAGUUAAGGAUGAAGCUGAGGGCUGCAGUCACAGCAUCUUGGUCAAAUGUGGGUUUUAAACCUGGGAGAAAGGUAAAAGGGCUCUUGGCUGGGUCAGUUUUAACUAAACAACCCCCCUAAAAUAUUAAUGGUCAUUAAAUUAUGCUUUUGUUUGCUUCAGAGACAGCUUCCUACAGGACACGGCUGGGAAAGGUGCUGGCAAACAUCGCUGCUCCGAGUGCCUCUCCCAUGGAAACCAGAACUUGGGAAGAUCUCAAGAAGCCAUCUGGACCAUCCCUCAGCCCCGGGGCAGGAUCAGUGCUGGCUAAGACUGUUCCCAGCGUAUUUGCCCAACCUGUUCCGAAAACCUUAAGUGAUGCUGAGCCUCCCGCCACCCUGUCUGACCAUGCAGCCUGGCAUUUGUGCUCUGUCAAGAGGAGAGAUGUCCUCAUUUCACCAUCCUGGACCAUAUUUUAUUUAGUUUAAUCUAAAAUCUAAACCUGGUUUUGGGACCAGCUUGCUUCUCAGCAGUUUUCUUUUAUUAUUUUUUUUUUAUGUUGUUCUUUUUAAAUCCCAGACAGAAAUGCUGUUGAACAGUGAGUAAGGGGUGAAGAUCCUAGUGCACCAGAAAUCCCCAGACUAUGUGUGAAGGCUCCCCUGUUUAUUUAAACUACCUGGCACCACUUAGAUGCCCAAGGUGCUUUCUGUGGGCGAAAAACAACAGUAUCUAAUAUAGGGAAUGAGGCAAUGAGGUGCUCCAACUCCUACGAUGGCCUUGGCUGGAGCUUGGAAGCUGCUUUCUAGAAAUUGCCCAUGGGGAAAACAGAAAGCAGAUGUGUGGAGACCAAGGAUGGUCCCAUCUGAGAUCUUUCUAGGCCAAUGCACAGAGCGACUGGAGCAAAUCCCAGUUAUCAACCAGACGCUUUAUUCACUUUAAGUUGAUUUCCUGGGGACCAGAGUCAAGGGAGGAUGUAGCUUGUAAGCCUCUUCCUUUGAAGAGCAGCUGGGUCCUGGGUGAAUGGCCUUGGUUUUGCCCAUGGAAUGCAGAGAAGUAGGUGCUUUGCUGCUGAACAGGCACCUCUUAAAUCCCAAAACGCUCCUGGAGCAUCAGGAGCAGCCCUCCAUCCAGUUGGCUGCCUUGAGGCUGGGUGCUCUCCCAGGGAUUAUUUAAGCCUUUUCACCAUUUCAUCCAAGGGGAUGGCAAAGCCUCUCUGCCUCCCUGACCAGGUGGUGGAAGCACCUUAAUGGGAGCCUUAACCACCAGCCUCUAAUACAGGACCUGAACGCAGCUACGAUGCUGUGAGAUGCUCCUACUGGGAAGUUUUUAGAGCUGAACUGACAGUGUCCAGGAAAGAUCAAUGUUGCAGAAAAAAAA